rnacentral:lncRNA from 1 species
CACCAUAACAUCUAAAGCUAUCAAGAGCACUGUUGCAAAAGUGAAAAGCGGAAAAGAGCAUAAGACUUUUGAAAUUACAAGUUUGAAGAAAGAUUUGAAGCACACGCUUCUUCACCACUAGCCACUUUGUAAUUCUACAAUUACAAAGACUUUUCCUUAUGACUAACUCUAGCCACAACAUAAACUUAAUGAGUUUAUGGAUUGACAAGAGGAUUCCUAAUCAAUAUGCUCCUAAGCAAGCGAUUUUAGGAGAUAUAGUAAGUACAAUAAAGAGGUUACAACUCAACUAGGACAGCAACAAUCAAUCCUUUCGGAACUGGUCCGUAGUGACGUUCAACCUUGUUCUUCAAGCUUGAGAGAAUGAUCUUUUCUGUUUUUGCUUGAUGCUUGAAUUGAGAAGCAGAAACAGGUCCCUUGGGUAUAUCUUGAUCACAUCAAUUGAAAUCAUGCGAGAACUUUGUUUGGUUAGAGAAUGAGUGGGUUGACAGUGGUGCAGUGCGGCAGAAACAGUGCCGCCAGUCACUUCAGAUCCAGUUGUGUCCAAAUGACUUUGUACUGCUAUAUAGGAACCACAGGAGCAUCAGGUUCUUGUUUGGUUCCUAGCUCCUGAAUCUGUGGCAGUUCAUCUUUUACUGGAGUCCGUUGAAAUUUGCAGCAAUCCAAAGUAGGUCAAGUUCCCUAACUGAUUCUGAGCAGUAAGUUUGUUAGAUCAUUAAAAUAUAAGGCAAGAGUGUUUAAGAUCUAUCAAAAGGAUUUAAACUUAUGACUCUCCCUAGUCAAAACAUAAACUCAGAAGUUUAUGAAUUUGGUUUGUUCCUAAGACAACGCUUCUAAGAAAGCAAACUAGGAAUUACAAAGUGAGCAAAUAACAAGAAGAGUCCGUUGAAGUUUGCAGCAAUCCAAAGCAGGCCAAGUUCCCUAACUGGUUCUGAGCGAUAAGUUUGUUAGGUCAUCAAAACACAAGGCAAGAGUGUUUAAGAUCUAUCAAUUUUCCCCUUUUUGAUGAUGACAAACUUAACAAUUAUAAAGUCAGACUUAGGCAGUCAAAAAAAAACAAGAGUUCCCCGUGAGACGAUGCCCUUACUCUUUCAUGAUCAUAAGAGCCAGUUCCUCAAUGUGGUUCCCCCUGAGUCGUACAUUAGGCUUUCUUUCUUCCCUUUCCCCUUUUUGGCAUCAUUAAAAAGAAUAAACAGCACAAAGAAGUUCACUUAAGCUAACUGAUGUCACAUAUGUGCACACAAACAUGAGAAAGAAUAGAGUACAAAUAGAGAGUACAAGACAAAAUAAGAGAGGAUUCAUAUUAAUAAUAGUUGAAUAUGCCACUUCCUUUGAAAAAGGAAGAGACACGGGAGCAGUAGUAGUACAUCCCAACCACACAAAAAAAAAAACCACCAAUCAUCAACAAGAACAAGAAAAAGGAAGCAUAUCCAAAAAAUUGGCCACUGAAGGGGUUCUUAAAGGGCACUAAGAGGAAAAAGCUUGGAAGCUGCGGCAAGUGUCUGGAGAACAAGAUCUAUUCGGGCGAUUCCCGACUUUUGCUCGUUGAGCAAUUCAGCCUUUAGGUUCUCGACUUGCGCCCUGAGAUCAGCAUUUUCUUGGGUCAAACAGAUCACCUCAUCAUUUGAAAUGGGAACUGCUCGGGCUUGCUGACCUUCCAGGAUAGCAUUCCUGGUCUUCAAACGACGUAUCUCCUCAGCUGCGCUGUUCUGGGCAUUAAUGAGCUGAGACACAAUUGAAGUGCUUCCUACACCCCUAUACUUCUCAAUACACUCGCACUCUUCCAAGGUUGUCUGUGAGAAUGUCUGCUUAAGGGUCCCUAAUUUAUGUAGCCCAAAGGAACCUUAAAGUGUUUGAACACUCGCGUGAGCAAGAAUCCAUAGGGAAGCCCAUGAUUACCAUCCUUGAAACCAACCACUUUUUGCAUAUGCUCAAUCAUUAUGGCCAGCAGACUCACAGGGGUGAAACGGUCUGACUACUCCAUUAAGAAUAGAUCAAAUUUUGAAGUUACAGAUUGUCUUUCUGCUCGAGGCAACAGGUUAACCAUCUCAAACAACUGGGUAGACAGGAAGCAGUGCUUUCUUAUGGAUCUGGUCCCCUUUUUUAUUGGAAUUAUCUUUCACCACCGCAUUUCGGAAGUCUUACUGGCAAACAUCUCAAACACUCGUUACUCCAACUUUGUACAAGCAAGCAAAGACCUAAUGAGGGUUGGAAUGAAAAAUCGAACGUAAUGUAAAAUCCAAUCUGAAGCUCUUUCGAACAAGCAAGGAACGAGUGACCACAAGCUCCAGUGAAGCGCUAAACAUGCAGUUAGCUUAAAACAUGUUUGAUAAAUGUAUUUCAUUACAGAUUCUGUUUUUGCUCUUUCUAACUAAUCAUAAAAGAGGUGAAACAGAGGAAGGGUAACCUGCUUUCCAAAGUAGUCAGUCACCAUAACAUCUAAAGCUAUUAAGAGCACUGUUGCAAAAGUGAAAAGCGAAAAGAGCAUAAGACUUUUGAAACUGCAAGUUUGAAGAAAGAUUCGAAGCACACGCUUCUUCGAAAUAUAGUGCACAAUUUACCAAAAGCAGAAAACUACUAACACAUAGAAACCUAGUACUUGUAAUAUCAAAAUUGCAAUUAGAAUUUUCCAUUUCACUAUCCAACAUUACGACAAUAUGGAUUCCAAACAAAUUCAAGUUAUAUAUUGUUAAGAUGUAAUUACAACAAACUGACAAAAAAGAUAGCCUCAAUUACAAAUUUGUUUUCCAAUUUUCAAUUAUUUGUCACAAAAAUCAACUUGCAAUAUAUAUUCAUAUUUACCUGCUUUAGUUAACGUUAAUAAUAAUGAGCUUUGGUUGCAAAAGACCAUGUUAUUAUUGUCCAGUCCUAACAUUGAUCCUAUAUAUGAAGCAUUAGAGAAUAGAAAAAGAAAUAGAAAACAAAUAAGGAAAAAAUGAAUCAUUGACAGCAAGAGCGUAGCAAAGAAAAGGAGAAGACAAGCCCAACAAGAAGAAUGAGUCAUCUUGAAGAAGAAAAACACUCCUAACAAAGAAGCGAAUCAAGAAAAGCAAGAAUAGGAGACCAGUUGUUAGUUUGUAUGGAUCCACCAAAUCGUAGAAUACCUGGUUCUCUACAAGUUUCUGCUAAGAGCACUUAGUAAAACAGUAAAUAAAUGAGGCAAAGAAUUUUUUAUAUAAAAAAAUCCCUCACAGGGGAUCAAAAAACCACGACCUACCCUGUAGGCUUUUAACUUCACUAAAUGUAAUAUUACCUAUUACAAACCACAUUACAAUACUUUCGAUUGCAAAGGAUUUACUCAACAACUUGUGGUACCUUUACCACAAGCCACUUUGUGACUAUCCUAGCUACAAAUGCUUUUUCUAACUAGUGGUGUUGUCACCACAAGCUACUUUGUAAUUCUACAAUUACAAAGACUUUUUCUUAUGACUAACUCUAGCCACAACAUAAACUCUCAACAAGUUUACGGAUUGACAAGAGGAUUCCUAAUCAAUAUGCUCCUAAGUAAGCGAUUUAGGAGAUAUAGUAAGUACAAUAACAAGGUUACAAUAGGACAGCAACAAUCAAUCCUUUCGGAACUGGUCCGUAAUGACGUUCAACCUUGUUCUUCAAGCUUGAGAGAAUGAUCUUUUCUGUUUUUGCUCGAUGCUUGAAUUGAGAAGCAGAAACCUUCAGUGAUAUUUCUGUAUAAAGCCCGUUUGGUACAUUUUGAUCACAUCACUUAAAAUGAUGUGCGUACUUUGUUUGGUCAGAGGAGUGGGUUGACAGUGGUGCAGUGCGGCAGAAACAGUGAUGCCCGUCACUUCAAUUCCAGCUGUGUCCAAUUGACUUUAUACUGCUAUAUAGGAACCACAGGAGCAUCAGGUUCUUGUUUGGUUCCUAGCUCCUGAAUCUGUGGCAGUUCAUCUUUUACUGGAGUCCGUUGAAAUUUGCAGCAAU